UACAGAGGUCCCGAGCGUUGUUCGGAUUCAUUGGGCGUAAAGAGCGUGUAGGCGGCCAGGUAGGUCCGCUGUGAAACUCGAGGCUCAACCUCGAGAUGUCGGCGGAAACCAUCUGGCUAGAGUCCGGAAGAGGAGAGUGGAAUUCCCGGUGUAGCGGUGAAAUGCGCAGAUAUCGGGAAGAACACCCGUGGCGAAGGCGGUUCUCUGGGACGGUACUGACGCUGAGACGCGAAAGCGUGGGAGCGAACAGG
rnacentral:rRNA from 1 species